GAGGGUAUAGCUGAAGUGGCAGAGCACAUGCUUAGCAUGCAUGAGGUCCUGUGUUCAAUCUCCAGUACCUCCU
rnacentral:tRNA from 1 species